rnacentral:rRNA from 1 species
ACGCAAGUCUGAUAGAGCAACGCCGCGUGAGAUGAAGAAGGUUCUCGGAUCGUAAAACUCUGUUUGUGAGGGAAGAACAAGUACCGGAGUAACUGCCGGUACCUUGACGGUACCUCAUUAGAAAGCCACGGCUAACUACGUG